rnacentral:rRNA from 1 species
GACGAACGCUGGCGGCGUGCUUAACACAUGCAAGUCGAACGGAAAGGCCCUUCGGGGUACUCGAGUGGCGAACGGGUGAGUAACACGUGGGUGAUCUGCCCUGCACUUUGGGAUAAGCCUGGGAAACUGGGUCUAAUACCGAAUAUGAUCAUGGCCUUCAUGGGUUGUGGUGGAAAGCUUUUGCGGUGUGGGAUGGGCCCGCGGCCUAUCAGCUUGUUGGUGGGGUAAUGGCCUACCAAGGCGACGACGGGUAGCCGGCCUGAGAGGGUGUCCGGCCACACUGGGACUGAGAUACGGCCCAGACUCCUACGGGAGGCAGCAGUGGGGAAUAUUGUACAAUGGGCGCAAGCCUGAUGCAGCGACGCCGCGUGAGGGAUGACGGCCUUCGGGUUGUAAACCUCUUUCAGCAGGGACGAAGCGCAAGUGACGGUACCUGUAGAAGAAGGACCGGCCAACUACGUGCCAGCAGCCGCGGUAAUACGUAGGGUCCGAGCGUUGUCCGGAAUUACUGGGCGUAAAGAGCUCGUAGGUGGUUUGUCGCGUUGUUCGUGAAAACUCACAGCUUAACUGUGGGCGUGCGGGCGAUACGGGCAGACUUGAGUACUGCAGGGGAGACUGAAAUUCCUGGUGUAGCGGUGGAAUGCGCAGAUAUCAGGAGGAACACCGGUGGCGAAGGCGGGUCUCUGGGCAGUAACUGACGCUGAGGAGCGAAAGCGUGGGGAGCGAACAGGAUUAGAUACCCUGGUAGUCCACGCCGUAAACGGUGGGUACUAGGUGUGGGUUUCCUUCCUUGGGAUCCGUGCCGUAGCUAACGCAUUAAGUACCCCGCCUGGGGAGUACGGCCGCAAGGCUAAAACUCAAAGAAAUUGACGGGGGCCCGCACAAGCGGCGGAGCAUGUGGAUUAAUUCGAUGCAACGCGAAGAACCUUACCUGGGUUUGACAUGCACAGGACGUGCCUAGAGAUAGGUAUUCCCUUGUGGCCUGUGUGCAGGUGGUGCAUGGCUGUCGUCAGCUCGUGUCGUGAGAUGUUGGGUUAAGUCCCGCAACGAGCGCAACCCUUAUCUUAUGUUGCCAGCGCGUAAUGGCGGGGACUCGUGAGAGACUGCCGGGGUCAACUCGGAGGAAGGUGGGGAUGACGUCAAGUCAUCAUGCCCCUUAUGUCCAGGGCUUCACACAUGCUACAAUGGCCGGUACAAAGGGCUGCGAUGCCGUGAGGUGGAGCGAAUCCUUUCAAAGCCGGUCUCAGUUCGGAUCGGGGUCUGCAACUCGACCCCGUGAAGUCGGAGUCGCUAGUAAUCGCAGAUCAGCAACGCUGCGGUGAAUACGUUCCCGGGCCU